AUGGAUUCAAAUUCAACAUAUUUGCUGAAAAUCAAAUUGCUUGGCAACCCAAAAAAAGCUAGGAAGGAUAUCAAAUGCUUUUGUUAUGAUAAGGUUAUUGAUUCCGACUUAACAAAUUAUAAGGAUUUGGUUGAAUCAAUCAUAGAGCAGUACUUGCCUCGCUAUUUGGAAGUUGCACAUGUUCAGUACUAUGAUCCUUUUCUUAAAAUCUACCCAGAAGUAACAUCUGACCAAGAAUUGGUGUCUAUGUUUGAGAAACUCUCUAAGACAAAGGUUGUGCACUUGUUUGUUGCAUAUUGUAAUCCAUCUGAACAAUAUGAUCCUAUCACGGAGUGGCAUAUUCAUGUGCAUAUCCAACCUAGCAAUACAGAACAAGACGAUGAUGAUUAUCUUCGCAACCCAAUACAUGAGAAUAUAAGUGUUCAUGGAGGAUAUAUGCUUCUACAAUGGAAGAUGGGUGCACCGUAA
rnacentral:rRNA from 1 species